AGAGUUUGAUCCUGGCUCAGGACGAACGCUGGCGGCGUGCUUAACACAUGCAAGUCAAGGGGGCCCGCAAGGGCAACCGGCGAACGGGUGCGUAACACGUGAGCAACCUACCGAGAUGUGGGGGAUAGCCGGCCCAACGGCCGGGUAAUACCGCAUACGAUUGCUUGGGGGAGUCCCUAGGCAAGGAAACCCGCAAGGGGCAUUUCGAGGGGCUCGCGGCCUAUCAGCUAGUUGGCGGGGUAAUGGCCCACCAAGGCGACGACGGGUAGCUGGUCUGAGAGGAUGGCCAGCCACAUUGGGACUGAGAAACGGCCCAGACUCCUACGGGAGGCAGCAGUGGGGAAUCUUGCGCAAUGGUCGAGAGACUGACGCAGCGACGCCGCGUGUGGGAGGACGCCCUUCGGGGUGUAAACCACUGUUGCCCGGGACGAACAUCCACUUUCGAGUGGACUGACGGUACCGGGUGAGGAAGCACCGGCUAACUCCGUGCCAGCAGCCGCGGUAAUACGGAGGGUGCGAGCGUUGUCCGGAAUCACUGGGCGUAAAGGGCGCGUAGGUGGCGCGAGGAGUCAACGGUGAAAGUUCAGGGCUCAACCCUGAAUCGGCCGUCGAUACUCUCGGGCUUGAGCACUGUAGAGGCAGGUGGAAUUCCGGGUGUAGCGGUGGAAUGCGUAGAGAUCCGGAAGAACACCGGUGGCGAAGGCGGCCUGCUGGGCAGUUGCUGACACUGAGGCGCGACAGCGUGGGGAGCAAACAGGAUUAGAUACCCUAGUAGUCC
rnacentral:rRNA from 1 species